rnacentral:rRNA from 1 species
UUGGACCUGAUAUCAGACAAGAUUACCCGCUGACU